rnacentral:rRNA from 1 species
AAUUGGAGGGCAAGUCUGGUGCCAGCAGCCGCGGUAAUUCCAGCUCCAAUAGCGUAUAUUAAAGUCGUUGCAGUUAAAAAGCUCGUAGUUGAAUUUCGGAAUCAUCAGGUAGGUCGUGCCACUGGUAUGUACUUGCCUUGAUGGUUCCUCCCUCUUGAAGAACCGUAAUGUCAUUAAUUUGGUGUUGCGGGGAAUCAGGACUGUUACUUUGAAAAAAUUAGAGUGUUUAAAGCAGGCAAACGCUUGAAUACAUUAGCAUGGAAUAAUGAAAUAGGACGUUUGAUCCUAUUUUGUUGGUUUCUAGGAUCGACGUAAUGAUUAAUAGGGACAGUUGGGGGCAUUAGUAUUCAAUUGUCAGAGGUGAAAUUCUUGGAUUUAUUGAAGACUAACUACUGCGAAAGCAUUUGCCAAGGAUGUUUUCAUUAAUCAAGAACGAAAGUUAGGGGAUCGAAGACGAUCAGAUACCGUCGUAGUCUUAACCAUAAACUAUGCCGAGCUAGGGAUCGGAUGAUGUUAAUUUUUUAAUGACUCAUUCGGCACCUUACGGGAAACCAAAGUGU